rnacentral:rRNA from 1 species
GCUUAUGGCCAUAUCACGUUGAAAACAGCCGGUUCUCAUCCGAUCACAGAAGUUAAGCAACAUCGAGCCUAGUUAGUACUUAAAUGGGUGACCGCUUGGGAAACCUAGGUGCUGUAAGCA